AUGGGACGGUGCCCGCAGCUCCGGCUUGUCAAGGCCCUUCUCCUCCUGGGGCUGAACUCCAUCUCUGCCUCCCUCCAGGACCAGCAUUGCGAGAGCUUGUCCAUGGCCAGCAACGUCUCUGGACUGCAGUGCAAUGCUUCCGUGGACCUUAUUGGUACCUGCUGGCCCCAGAGUCCUGCAGGGCAGCUGGUAGUUCGACCUUGUCCCGCUUAUUUCUACGGCGUCCGCUACAAUACCACAAACAACGGCUACCGGGAGUGCCUGGCCAAUGGCACGUGGGCCGCCCGCGUGAACUACUCCGAGUGCCAAGAGAUCCUCAGCGAGGAGAAGAAGAGCAAGGUGCACUACCACAUCGCUGUCAUCAUCAACUACCUAGGCCACUGCAUCUCCCUGGCGGCCCUCCUGGUGGCCUUUGUCCUCUUUCUGCGGCUCAGGAGCAUCCGGUGCCUGAGAAACAUCAUCCACUGGAACCUCAUCUCAGCCUUCAUCCUGCGCAAUGCCACGUGGUUCGUGGUCCAGCUCACCAUGAGCCCCGAAGUCCAUCAGAGCAACGUGGGCUGGUGCAGGCUGGUGACAGCCGCCUACAACUACUUCCACGUGACCAACUUCUUCUGGAUGUUCGGUGAGGGCUGCUACCUGCACACGGCCAUCGUGCUCACGUACUCCACAGACCGGCUGCGAAAGUGGAUGUUUAUCUGCAUCGGCUGGGGUGUGCCUUUCCCCAUCAUUGUGGCCUGGGCCAUUGGGAAGCUGUACUACGACAAUGAGAAGUGCUGGUUUGGCAAAAGGCCUGGGGUGUACACUGACUACAUCUACCAGGGCCCGAUGAUCUUGGUCCUGCUGAUCAAUUUCAUCUUCCUUUUCAACAUCGUCCGCAUCCUCAUGACCAAACUCCGGGCAUCCACCACCUCUGAGACCAUUCAGUACAGGAAGGCUGUGAAGGCCACUCUGGUGCUGCUCCCCCUCCUGGGCAUCACGUACAUGCUGUUCUUCGUGAACCCUGGGGAGGACGAGGUCUCCAGGGUCGUCUUCAUCUACUUCAACUCCUUCCUGGAAUCUUUCCAGGGCUUCUUCGUGUCUGUGUUCUACUGCUUCCUCAACAGCGAGGUCCGCUCUGCCAUCCGGAAGAGGUGGCACCGCUGGCAGGACAAGCACUCAAUCCGUGCCCGCGUGGCUCGCGCCAUGUCCAUCCCCACCUCCCCCACCCGUGUCAGCUUUCACAGCAUCAAGCAGUCCACAGCAGUGUGA
rnacentral:lncRNA from 1 species